GACGGAGGGUGCUAGCGUUGUUCGGAAUUACUGGGCGUAAAGGGCGCGUAGGCGGCCUGAUAAGUAGGGGGUGAAAUCCUGCGGCUUAACCGCAGGGCUGCCUUCUAAACUGUCAGGCUCGAGCACAGUAGAGGCAGGUGGAAUUCCCGGUGUAGCGGUGGAAUGCGUAGAGAUCGGGAAGAACAUCAGUGGCGAAGGCGGCCUGCUGGGCUGUUGCUGACGCUGAGGCGCGACAGCGUGGGGAGCAAACAGG
rnacentral:rRNA from 1 species